CAAACUACUAACCAACCAUCAAUAAAUGCUACAACUGAAGGGUUGAAUGAUGCUAGGACAUCAGUCGAUAUCCAAGGAUCUACUAUAGACUGUUUCAGAUAAAAAUUCUAUUAAUAGGUCACGUUUGAAAUAUCACCAUAAAGCAGGGUCGAAGUCUUUUAUGUCGCAUCAAGAACAGAUUGCUGCACAAUCAGGGGAGAUGCUAAGUGCAAUUGAACGCUUUGAAAUGGAGUACAAAAGCAUUAAAAAAGGUUGGGACUUUGGAGCGAAAGAAUUAUGGGUAAGUGACCUAUUGAUGUAUAUAAUAUAACUUGAAUUAUAGAUGUAUAACUAUAUAUGCAUAUUCAUACGUAGAUAUGUAUUUAUAUAAAAAACAAUUACAUAGAUUAAGAUGAUGAAUAUACCUAUAGAUUACAGGAGAUUAUUUUGAUUUACUAGGAACUAAACAUACACACUUAAAUGUAUUUUGUUUUAUUUGCAGGAUCAAAUGGUUAAGAUGCGAACUGAGACAACCCUUCCUGAUGAGACUCGAACUAUGAAUGAUGAUGAAAUAUGUGCAAAGGUUCUUGGAGUAAAAUCAGGCUAUGUCAAGGAUUGUGGUUUUGGUCCUAGGCCUCCACCAUCUAGCACUUCUCGAUCGUCACUAGAUGAAAUGUCUGAGAAGAAUAAAGAGUUAGAAGAUAAACUUGGAGAGACCCAAGAUACUAUAAAGGCUCAACAAGAAAAGAUUGAUGCACAAAACGUGCUGAUCCAAGAAUUGCAGGAGCAAGGCAAAAAGUUUGAGCAGUUCAUGGCAACCUUUAUGAACCAACAAGCAUCAAGUUAGUUAUGCAUAUCUAGGAUUUAGUAUUAGUUAAACAAGUUCAUUGAUUUUUGGAUCAUUUUUAGUUCAGUAUUGACUUUAGACUAUUCCAAUUAGUAGUUA